GAUGAACGCUGGCGGCGUGCCUAAUACAUGCAAGUCGAGCGAACGGACGAGAAGCUUGCUUCUCUGAUGUUAGCGGCGGACGGGUGAGUAACACGUGGAUAACCUACCUAUAAGACUGGGAUAACUUCGGGAAACCGUAGCUAAUACCGGAUAAUAUUUUGAACCGCAUGGUUCAAAAGAGAAAGACGGUCUUGCUGUCACUUAUAGAUGGAUCCGCGCUGCAUUAGCUAGUUGGUAAGGUAACGGCUUACCAAGGCAACGAUGCAUAGCCGACCUGAGAGGGUGAUCGGCCACACUGGAACUGAGACACGGUCCAGACUCCUACGGGAGGCAGCAGUAGGGAAUCUUCCGCAAUGGGCGAAAGCCUGACGGAGCAACGCCGCGUGAGUGAUGAAGGUCUUCGGAUCGUAAAACUCUGUUAUUAGGGAAGAACAUAUGUGUAAGUAACUGUGCACAUCUUGACGGUACCUAAUCAGAAAGCCACGGCUAACUACGUG
rnacentral:rRNA from 1 species